GACGAACGCUGGCGGCGUGCUUAACACAUGCAAGUCGAGCGGAGCGGCGAACGGGUGAGUAACCCGUGAGUAACUACCCCCCUCUCUGGGAUAACAGUUGGAAACGGCUGCUAAUACCGGAUAGUGGGGGGUGACUCGCGUCCAAUCAGCUUGUUGGUGGGGUAGUGGCAUGCCAAGGCGACGACGGGUAGCCGGCCUGAGAGGGCGACCUGCCACAUUGGGCUGAGAUACGGCCCAAACUCCUACGGGAGGCAGCAGUGGUGAAUAUUGCAGAAUGGGGGAGCCCCUGAUGCAGCAACGCUCGUGCGGGAUGACGGCCUUCGGGUUGUAAACCGCUUUCAGCCAUGACGCGGUAGUGGCAGAAGAAGCACCGGCUAACUACGUGCCAGCAGCCGCGGUAAUAC
rnacentral:rRNA from 1 species